rnacentral:miRNA from 10 species
AGUGAAUCUAUAGUGGCAACCG